UACGAAGGUGGCAAGCGUUGUUCGGAUUUACUGGGCGUACAGGGCGCGUAGGCGGUUGGCUAAGCCCUCCGUGAAAUCUCCAGGCUUAACCUGGAAAGUGCAGAGGGGACUGUUCAGCUAGAGGAUGGGAGAGGAGCGCGGAAUUCCCGGUGUAGCGGUGAAAUGCGUAGAGAUCGGGAGGAAGGCCGGUGGCGAAGGCGGCGCUCUGGAACAUUUCUGACGCUGAGGCUCGAAAGCGUGGGGAGCAAACAGG
rnacentral:rRNA from 1 species